UGGGAUAUUCCAAUUCGUAUGAUGUCAAAUGCUUAGAGGACCAAGAGAUAGAAAAUUUAACCCGGAAAGAAGAUUUUUAUCAAUUUUAAGAAAUCGAAAAGGAGAUAGCCAGUGGUCACUUUGCUAUUGUCAAAAAAUGCCACGAUUAGAAUGACAAGCGAUUGGAAUUCGCGGCAAAAUUUAUACGGAAAAGGCGUAGGGGAAAAACUUUUAGAGCUUCAGUUCUUAACGAAAUACGCGUCCCGAAACAUGACAGAUUUAUAUCCCUGUAUCAAUGUUAUGAAACCAGUCGGAAAUUAUAAAGAUCAUGGAAUAUGCUCACGGUGGAGAAAUAUUCCAGACACUGGAAGAGUGCUUGCCUGACAAAAAGGUGUUGAUUGAGGAAAAUGUGACCGCUCGCGUGAAAAGACAAGUUGUAGAAGCCCUAGCUUAUUUGCAUUCUUUAAACAUUGUCCAUUUAGA